UGCAUUCACUACUGUAAGUCGCUUUGGAUAAGAGCGUCUGCUAAAUUACGAAAA
rfam:Salmo salar isolate Sally breed double haploid chromosome ssa04, whole genome shotgun sequence.